GCAAGUAUAGCUCAAAGGUAGAGUAAAACCUUGCCAAGGUUGAGGUUGAGGGUUCAAAUCCCUUUACUUGCU
rnacentral:tRNA from 1 species